rnacentral:rRNA from 1 species
GAUGAACGCUGGCGGCGUGCUUAACACAUGCAAGUCAAACGGUGAAGGCGGAGCUUGCUCUGCUGGAUCAGUGGCGAACGGGUGAGUAACACGUGAGCAAUCUGCCCCUGACUCUGGGAUAAGCGCUGGAAACGGCGUCUAAUACUGGAUACGAGCUGCGAAGGCAUCUUCAGCAGCUGGAAAGAAUUUCGGUCAGGGAUGAGCUCGCGGCCUAUCAGCUUGUUGGUGAGGUAAUGGCUCACCAAGGCGUCGACGGGUAGCCGGCCUGAGAGGGUGACCGGCCACACUGGGACUGAGACACGGCCCAGACUCCUACGGGAGGCAGCAGUGGGGAAUAUUGCACAAUGGGCGAAAGCCUGAUGCAGCAACGCCGCGUGAGGGACGACGGCCUUCGGGUUGUAAACCUCUUUUAGCAGGGAAGAAGCGAAAGUGACGGUACCUGCAGAAAAAGCGCCGGCUAACUACGUG